UACAGAGGUCUCAAGCGUUUGUUCGGAUUCAUUGGGCGUAAAGGGUGCGUAGGCGGCGCGGUAAGUCGGGUGUGAAAUCUCGGGGCUUAACUCCGAAACUGCAUUCGAUACUACCGUGCUUGAGGACUGGAGAGGAGACUGGAAUUUACGGUGUAGCGGUGAAAUGCGUAGAUAUCGUAAGGAAGACCAGUGGCGAAGGCGGGUCUCUGGACAGUUCCUGACGCUGAGGCACGAAGGCCAGGGGGAGCAAAACGGG
rnacentral:rRNA from 1 species